GUAGGGAAUAUUGGGCAAUGGGUGCAAGCCUGACCCAGCCAUCCCGCGUGCCGGAUGAAGGCCCUCUGGGUCGUAAACGGCUUUUGACGGUGAAGAACCGAAAGGGUGCGCCCUUUUUUGACGGUAGCCGUUGAAUAAGCACCGGCUAACUCCGUGCCAGCAGCCGCGGUAAUACGGAGGGUGCGAGCGUUGUCCGGAUUUAUUGGGUUUAAAGGGUGCGUAGGCUGGAGGGACAGUCAGCGGUGAAAAGCAGUUGCUCAACAAUUGUCUUGCCGCAGAUACUACCUUUCUUGGAUUGGGAGGAGGUUACCGGAACGGAUGGUGUAGCGGUGAAAUGCAUAGAUAUCAUCCAGAACGCCAAUUGCGAAGGCAGGUAACUGUACCUAUAUCGACGCUGAUGCACGAAAGCAUGGGUAGCGAACAGGAUUAGAAACCCGUGUAGUCC
rnacentral:rRNA from 1 species